rnacentral:rRNA from 1 species
GUAGGUGGCAAGCGUUGUCCGGAAUUAUUGGGCGUAAAGCGCGCGCAGGUGGUUCUUUAAGUCUGAUGUGAAAGCCCCCGGCUCAACCGGGGAGGGUCAUUGGAAACUGGGGAACUUGAGUGCAGGAGAGGAAAGUGGAAUUCCACGUGUAGCGGUGAAAUGCGUAGAUAUGUGGAGGAACACCAGUGGCGAAGGCGACUUUCUGGCCUGUAACUGACACUGAGGCGCGAAAGCGUGGGGAGCAAACAGGGAUUAGAUACCCUGGUAGUCCACGCCGUAAACGAUGAGUGCUAAGUGUUGGGGGGUUUCCCGCCCCUCAGUGCUGCAGCUAACGCAUUAAGCACUCCGCCUGGGGAUACGGUCGCAAGACUG